GACGAACGCUGGCGGCGUGCCUAAUACAUGCCAGUUGAGCGCUGAAGGUUGGUACUUGUACCAACUGGAUGAGCAGCGAACGGGUGAGUAACGCGUGGGGAAUCUGCCUUUGAGCGGGGGACAACAGUUGGAAACGAAUGCUAAUACCGCAUAAAAACUUUAAACACAAGUUUUAAGUUUGAAAGAUGCAAUUGCAUCACUCAAAGAUGAUCCCGCGUUGUAUUAGCUAGUUGGUGAGGUAAAGGCUCACCAAGGCGAUGAUACAUAGCCGACCUGAGAGGGUGAUCGGCCACAUUGGGACUGAGACACGGCCCAAACUCCUACGGGAGGCAGCAGUAGGGAAUCUUCGGCAAUGGACGAAAGUCUGACCGAGCAACGCCGCGUGAGUGAAGAAGGUUUUCGGAUCGUAAAACUCUGUUGGUAGAGAAGAACGUGGGUGAGAGUGGAAAGCUCAUCAAGUGACGGUAACUACCCAGAAAGGGACGGCUAACUACGUG
rnacentral:rRNA from 1 species